rnacentral:rRNA from 1 species
CCUACGGGGUGCAGCAGUGAGGAAUAUUGGUCAAUGGACGAGAGUCUGAACCAGCCAAGUAGCGUGAAGGAUGACUGCCCUAUGGGUUGUAAACUUCUUUUAUAAAGGAAUAAAACGAGGCACGUGUGCCUUUUUGCAUGUACUUUAUGAAUAAGGAUCGGCUAACUCCGUGCCAGCAGCCGCGGUAAUACGGAGGAUCCGAGCGUUAUCCGGAUUUAUUGGGUUUAAAGGGAGCGUAGAUGGGUUGUUAAGUCAGUUGUGAAAGUUUGCGGCUCAACCGUAAAAUUGCAAUUGAUACUGGCAGUCGUGAGUACAGUUGAGGUAAGCGGAAUUCGUGGUGUAGCGGUGAAAUGCUUAGAUAUCACGAAGAACCCCGAUUGCGAAGGCAGCUUACUAAACUGUGACUGACAUUGAUGCUCGAAAGUGUGGGUAUCAAACAGGAUUAGAUACCCUAGUAGUC